rnacentral:rRNA from 1 species
UACGAAGGGGCGUAGCGUUGUUCGGAAUUACUGGGCGUAAAGGACGCGUAGGCGGCCGUGCAAGUCAGGUGUGAAAGACCCUCGGGCGUCAACCCACGGAGGUGCACUUGAUACUGCAUGGCUAGAGUGUCGGAGAGGAUGGUGGAAUUCCCAGUGUAGAGGUGAAAUUCGUAGAUAUUGGGAAGAACACCGGUGGCGAAGGCGACCAUCUGGACGACAACUGACGCUGAGGCGCGAAAGCGUGGGGAGC